GAUUUCACCUAAAGAGAUAUGAAACAUAUCCCUCUAGGUUGCUAAGAUAGCUCUUUGCAGUUUAGGCUGAAGUCGUUCAAGAAGAGAUGCAAAGUACAUAUGCCUCAAGUUUUGAACAUUAUAGCCAUUCAAUAUGUAGUACAGCUGAGACAUUUUUUGACAAUGAAAUUUGAUGUCUUUCCCUUUAAUGAACAGCCUUUCAUCUCAAAAUAUUCCAAUCUCAAUUGCUUUUGCUUAUUAAUGAGGCA
rnacentral:misc_RNA from 1 species